GAUGAACGCUGGCGGCGUGCCUAAUACAUGCAAGUCGAGCGAACGGACGAGAAGCUUGCUUCUCUGAUGUUAGCGGCGGACGGGUGAGUAACACGUGGAUAACCUACCUAUAAGACUGGGAUAACUUCGGGAAACCGGAGCUAAUACCGGAUAAUAUUUUGAACCGCAUGGUUCAAAAGUGAAAGACGGUCUUGCUGUCACUUAUAGAUGGAUCCGCGCUGCAUUAGCUAGUUGGUAAGGUAACGGCUUACCAAGGCAACGAUGCAUAGCCGACCUGAGAGGGUGAUCGGCCACACUGGAACUGAGACACGGUCCAGACUCCUACGGGAGGCAGCAGUAGGGAAUCUUCCGCAAUGGGCGAAAGCCUGACGGAGCAACGCCGCGUGAGUGAUGAAGGUCUUCGGAUUGUAAAACUCUGUUAUUAGGGAAGAACAUAUGUGUAAGUAACUGUGCACAUCUUGACGGUACCUAAUCAGAAAGCCACGGCUAACUACGUGCCAGCAGCCGCGGUAAUACGUAGGUGGCAAGCGUUAUCCGGAAUUAUUGGGCGUAAAGCGCGCGUAGGCGGUUUUUUAAGUCUGAUGUGAAAGCCCACGGCUCAACCGUGGAGGGUCAUUGGAAACUGGAAAACUUGAGUGCAGAAGAGGAAAGUGGAAUUCCAUGUGUAGCGGUGAAAUGCGCAGAGAUAUGGAGGAACACCAGUGGCGAAGGCGACUUUCUGGUCUGUAACUGACGCUGAUGUGCGAAAGCGUGGGGAUCAAACAGGAUUAGAUACCCUGGUAGUCCACGCCGUAAACGAUGAGUGCUAAGUGUUAGGGGGUUUCCGCCCCUUAGUGCUGCAGCUAACGCAUUAAGCACUCCGCCUGGGGAGUACGACCGCAAGGUUGAGACUCAAAGGAAUUGACGGGGACCCGCACAAGCGGUGGAGCAUGUGGUUUAAUUCGAAGCAACGCGAAGAACCUUACCAAAUCUUGACAUCCUUUGACAACUCUAGAGAUAGAGCUUUCCCCUUCGGGGGACAAAGUGACAGGUGGUGCAUGGUUGUCGUCAGCUCGUGUCGUGAGAUGUUGGGUUAAGUCCCGCAACGAGCGCAACCCUUAAGCUUAGUUGCCAUCAUUAAGUUGGGCACUCUAAGUUGACUGCCGGUGACAAACCGGAGGAAGGUGGGGAUGACGUCAAAUCAUCAUGCCCCUUAUGAUUUGGGCUACACAUGUGCUACAAUGGACAAUACAAAGGGCAGCGAAACCGUGAGGUCAAGCAAAUCCCAUAAAGUUGUUCUCAGUUCGGAUUGUAGUCUGCAACUCGACUACAUGAAGCUGGAAUCGCUAGUAAUCGUAGAUCAGCAUGCUACGGUGAAUACGUUCCCGGGUCU
rnacentral:rRNA from 1 species